rnacentral:rRNA from 1 species
AGAGUUUGAUCAUGGCUCAGAGCGAACGCUGGCGGCAGGCUUAACACAUGCAAGUCGAGCGGGCGUAGCAAUACGUCAGCGGCAGACGGGUGAGUAACGCGUGGGAACGUACCUUUUGGUUCGGAACAACCCAGGGAAACUUGGGCUAAUACCGGAUAAGCCCUUACGGGGAAAGAUUUAUCGCCGAAAGAUCGGCCCGCGUCUGAUUAGCUAGUUGGUGGGGUAAUGGCCCACCAAGGCGACGAUCAGUAGCUGGUCUGAGAGGAUGAUCAGCCACAUUGGGACUGAGACACGGCCCAAACUCCUACGGGAGGCAGCAGUGGGGAAUAUUGGACAAUGGGCGCAAGCCUGAUCCAGCCAUGCCGCGUGAGUGAUGAAGGCCCUAGGGUUGUAAAGCUCUUUUGUGCGGGAAGAUAAUGACGGUACCGCAAGAAUAAGCCCCGGCUAACUUCGUGCCAGCAGCCGCGGUAAUACGAAGGGGGCUAGCGUUGCUCGGAAUCACUGGGCGUAAAGGGUGCGUAGGCGGGUCUUUAAGUCAGGGGUGAAAUCCUGGAGCUCAACUCCAGAACUGCCUUUGAUACUGAAGAUCUUGAGUUCGGGAGAGGUGAGUGGAACUGCGAGUGUAGAGGUGAAAUUCGUAGAUAUUCGCAAGAACACCAGUGGCGAAGGCGGCUCACUGGCCCGAUACUGACGCUGAGGCACGAAAGCGUGGGGAGCAAACAGGAUUAGAUACCCUAGUAGUCC